rnacentral:rRNA from 1 species
GAUGAACGCUGGCGGCGUGCCUAAUACAUGCAAGUCGAGCGAACAGACGAGGAGCUUGCUCCUCUGACGUUAGCGGCGGACGGGUGAGUAACACGUGUAUAACCUACCUAUAAGACUGGGAUAACUUCGGGAAACCGGAGCUAAUACCGGAUAAUAUAUUGAACCGCAUGGUUCAAUAGUGAAAGACGGUUUUGCUGUCACUUAUAGAUGGAUCCGCGCCGCAUUAGCUAGUUGGUAAGGUAACGGCUUACCAAGGCAACGAUGCGUAGCCGACCUGAGAGGGUGGUCGGCCACACUGGAACUGGGACGCGGUCCAGACUCCUACGGGAGGCAGCAGUAGGGAAUCUUCCGCAAUGGGCGAAAGCCUGACGGAGCAACGCCGCGUGAGUGAUGAAGGUCUUCGGAUCGUAAAACUCUGUUAUUAGGGAAGAACAAAUGUGUAAGUAACUAUGCACGUCUUGACGGUACCUAAUCAGAAAGCCACGGCUAACUACGUG